CUCCUGUAUCAAAGUGUGGGUUCUUAUGUUUGUUAUCAUAUUUAAUUUUCUCUUUGUCGUGCCUGUCAUUUGUACGUUGUAUUGCUAGUUUUCUACUUUCUAUUAUAUUGGGGUAGGGGUUUAUGUGGUUAUUUAAGUCUGAGGGGAUUAUAUUAUACAUUAAAAAUAUGGGGGGAAAUCCAGUUAUCGUAUGGGGGGUAUCGUUAUAUUUAUUAGUUACUAUCUUAAUUAACUUAGUCCAGGAGGUUCCUGGAUUCUCUAAGUUCAGUAACCUCAGCUUCCCGGUGAGUGUCGCGUUAAGACGCUCACAUAAUCCGUUAGCUUGAGGGUUAUUUGCAGUGAUUAGUAGAGGCUGUAUCCCGUUCUUUAUUAAGAAUCUCCUGAACUUUGGGGAAGUAAAUGCAGGUGCCCGAUCCGAAAGAAGGCGUUUUGGGCGGCCACACUGCAAUACCUUUUUGAGGCACUGAAUGUAUGUGAUUAUACUAGUUGACUUACUGGGGAAGGUCCAUGUAUACCGACUUAGGUGAUCUACAAUUACGUGUAAGUAUGACUUAUAAUUACCGUAUUUAGAAAAACCUGAAAUAGUGUCUAUAGAUAACAUAUCGUAGGGUUGUAAAACUAUAGGGGGGCGUUCUAAUCUACCAUAUAAUGGACCUUUCGGUUUCUUUAUAAGUUGGCAUGUGGGACAGGACCUAUUAUACUUAACUAUAGAUUUGGUCAUUCCACACCAAGUAUACUGUGUGGAGAUGAGCCUAAUCAUUUGGGAUACACCAGGAUGGUUAUACUCUAAAUGUACUUUAUUAAUUAGCGUAUGUGGUAAGGGAGGUGGAACUAUAAUCUUGACAAUACCUUUACGUUUGAUUGUAUGGAGGCCAUCUAUAUUCGUUUUGAUAAGUGUAGAUGGAGAUAAUUGGGGUUGCUUUUCUAUUAUUUGGGUGGUGGUGAGAAAACCACAUAAAGGAUUGCGGGACAGUAGGUCUGCUUCGUACUGCGUUUUACCUUUUAUAUAUUUUAUAUCGUAUUCGUAUGCGGACAUCUUUAAGCUCCACCUAAAAAGUCUACCCGUUGGGUUUUUUUCAAUGGUUUUUAACCAUUGUAAUGCAUGGUGGUCCGUAAAAAUUGUGAACCUUACACCCGCGAGAUAGAUGCGGAACUUUUCCACACUAUCUAUCACAGCAAGGCAUUCCAACUCUGUGAUGGUGUAAUUUUUCUCGUGGGGUCGGAGUGCUCUGCUGUAAUAUUGCACGGGGUGUAGGAUGCCGUCUGGAUGUUGUUGUUUUAGGAUGCCAGCUAUUCCCUGAAGUGAGGCAUCACAGAAUAGCCAACAGGGUAACCCUUCUUUAAAGAGGUGUAGUACCGGUUUUGUGGUCAGACAUUCUUUUAGAGUGUCAAAUGAAUGUUGGCAUUCUGCAUCCCAGUGCCAUGGGGUAUCUUUCUUAAGUAGAUUAUUGAGGGGGUUCCUAAUGCGGGCGUGAUCUUUUAUAAAUUUAUUAUAUACAUUAAUGGAGCCUAAGAAUGAUUGGAGGGAUUUAACGCUAGUGGGGACCUUAAUGGCAUUAAUUACAUCUAAAUUUUGUACUAAUGGAGUGAAUGUGCCUGAUGAUAUGGUAUAGCCUAAAAAUUCUAUUGUAGUUUUAAAGAAGUCACACUUAUUACAAUUUAACCUAAAAUUUUCCCUAUUACACAUAUCAAAAAAUUGCUGUAAGUGCUCUAAAUGUUCUUCUAUGGAAUUUGAAAAGAUAAUGAAAUCGUCGAAAUAAUGUGCUAUAAAACCUAACCUAUUUCUUUUAAUCCCGUAUGGUAAUCUUUCGAAAUUAUAUUGACCCUCUAACGUGACAAAAGAUAAUAAAUUUCUAUCAGGGGGACUUAUUUCGAUGGACCAGUAUGCUGAUGAAAAAUAGGCGCGGGAGUAAAUUUUGGCGUUGGCUAAUUUAUCUAAGAUAUUCUCUAUGAGCGGAAGGGGGUGAACAUCGGGGAAAAUUAUUUCAUUCAGGCGGCGGUAGUCUACGCAAAAUCGUUUUGUCUUAUCCUUUUGGGUAACUAAAGUAACGGGGGCUGAAUAGGGGGAGAAAGAAGGCUCUAUAAUAUCAUAUUCUAGCAUUUUCCCUACUUGUUCUUGUAUUUCACGUUGAUCUGAAAGAGAUGUUCGAUACGGUCUGAGUGCAAUUAUUUUAUCUUAAUUUGUCCUAAUAUUGAUAGGGGGAAUUUUCAAUUUUGGGAUGUUAUAUUUGUUAGUAGAAAAAAUAUUUGAGUAAUUCUUAAUAAUAUUCAUAAAAGUUAAAGGGAUAUCAUUCCUAACACAUAAAUUACAAGAAUCAUUAAAAAUUUUACAUUGAUGUUCCGAGGGAUAUAGUGGGGGUAAUAAAUAUAAAUGGGGAAAAUGAGCUAAAGUUUGGCUGGGUGCAUUUUUGUCACAAUUGGUAGAGGUCUUGGUCAAGGUAAUGGGACAUGGUAUAGGAUGGACAUUUUCCCCUUGCAAUAAUGGAGAAUGUGAGUUAGGCAUGUUUUUUAAAAGACCCACAUUGGGCGGGUUACAUGGGAUUACAUAGGUUAUAUGGUACCAUUUCUUAGACAAAGGAGCAUCACAUUGAUAAAUAGAAUGAUUAUAUAAAUUUAAGGUCAAACAAAAUUGACUAAUGGAAUUUAAUGAUAGUAUACCAAAAGGUAAUAAAAAUGAUCUAUUAUAUAAAAUUUAAUUGAUUUUGUUAUUUUUCCUAUGGUAGUGGUCAAAAAUGUAUAUCCUAUCGAAUUUAUUUGAGUAGAUAUGGAAUUGAUUAAUAUAUGGCAUGGAUAUAAUUUUAAAGGAUUAGAUAAGUUUUUACUAAGAUGAUUAAAAUAUUUAAAUUAAUUAUGUUAAUAGAGGCUCCUGUGUCUAAGAGGAACGGGCAAUAAAAAUUAUUAAAAAAUUUAGGUUUACAUAGAAUAUUGGAUAGUUUAGGGACGAAAAUUGAGGGUUUCGUUGCCUUGUGAGGUGCGAGAAGACCUGGGGGCCGGCACGGGAAGGUUGUGGGCGCCAUUUUGUUCCGGUGGGAAAUAAUGCGCAGUAGGUUGGCCGUGGUAGGCCUGUUGCCUGUAGGGUCGUCUGUUCAUGGAACAUUCACUGUUCCAGUGAUCACCUUGGCAGUAUUUGCAUGGCGAGGGUGGUCUCCUGGCACCAGAAGGGUAUCUUGGAGUAUUGUUUGUUGAGAAAGGAUUGUAGUUCCUUCCCCUAGAAGGAGUUCCGGAAUCACGGUGAAAGGCACUGGUGUUGGUAACACCUUGAAAUGGUUCGGAUGGAGUAGGGAAUGAAUUGGUCCCUUUUAUUCUAGUCAUGGUAGAGUACCAUUCGGUCAGGGUUUUAGGGGCUAUGGCCCUCAUGAGGCGCUGAUCACUGGCCUGGAGGCCUUCCGUUAAUGCUUCCACUAUGAUAGGAUUGGUUAGGCCCAGUUGUAAUCCCAUAGUUAUUUUUUGGCGGUAAUAGUCUCCUAAUUGGAUCUGACUAGUUAAUUUAAAAGUUAAAAAUUUGGUGAAAGUGACCUCGGAUUUUCCGGGGUAGAGGUCCAUGAGAGUUUGUUUUGCCUGACUGUAUGGCAGAGAGGCCAGAUUCAGUUUGUUGUAGAGGGAGAGGGGCUCACCUUUGAGUAGCGUGCGGAGCCGGGCUUGCAGGGUGGCGUCAUCUUGCGGUCUCUCGCUCGUCCGCUCGAGUUGCUGGAUGAAGUUGCUUGCUGCGUAGGAUCCGUCGAAAGGAGAGAUGAGGGCUUCCUCCGCACAAGGCACGGCUAUUCCCCGAAUGGCGUCUGUUAGGCGGCUUACUAGGUCUUCGCAGUGGGGUUGCAUGUUUGUGAGGGCAUCCGCGAAGUAUUCGUCUCUGACCUCCGUCAUCCUCUGCAUGCUGCUGUCCUCAGUUAUCCUGUCGACUUAAACGGGUUCUGUAGUAACCCCGACCAAGCCGACGUGGAAUAUACUGGGCAGUCGUGGUCGUGGGUGCGUGAUGGGAUUCCCGCACGGGGACAGCAAGGGACAGAGGCAGGUCUAGAUGGUAGCUCCAAGAGGUAGAGAUAGACCACGGACGAAGGCAGUCGGACCACGGGCGCCGCGGAUGCCCUAAGCCUACUCGCGGAUAGAAGAAGGGGUGAGAGAUCCGACCGACCGUAUAACGGCGUCACUCUGAAAACAACUCCUUUGUCUCAUUUUCUGGGCCCUUUUAUACUGGACCCCCGCAUAUGGCGGUGAGUCCUGAUUGGCUCCUGUAAUCACGCCACCUUCUGGCGCCGUUGGUCGUUGUCGCCGUCUGGUCUACCUUUGCCUCUUUGUUUAUUUGUUACAUCCAUUUCCACAAGGUCGAUACAUAUUUUUAUAUAGAUAUGGGGUUAUAAUAAAUACCAGAAGAAGGUUGUGAACUAUCUAACUCAAAAUAUACUACAUAUAUAUUUUUAGAAUUUAUUUUUGGAACACAAAUGUAUUUUUAGUUCCACCUUUUGCUACGAGGGGCGCUGUUUGCCAGGCCGUUAUGCACCGUUUUAAACGUGAAUUUUUUUUUAAAUUCGUUUUUAAUAUACAUAUUUAUUUUAUAUAUAAAUAUAUAUAUGUAUUUAUUUGUUAUUUUUAUUACAAAAUUAUAUUAAUAUUUGAGCAUCAAAUAUAUAUAUAUAGAAUAUAUUUUUUGAAACAUAAAUGUUUUUAAUUUCACUUGUUUCCGCGGGCUAGAUUGGAUAGUAGAUCAAAAAUUUUGUAAACAAAAUUUCAAUGAAAUGUGAAACUAGAAAAUAAUUAGCCUGAUACCAUUCCAAAAUGUCAAGAGAGUUUACAUUGAAAAUUUGAUAUUUGAAUCAGUAGUUUGUGUGGGAGUUUAUAGAUAAAUAGAAAGAAAAAUUCUCCGAUUUUUUAUAUAUAACAUAUAAAUAUAUAGAUGGAAAUUUUUCCGGGAGGAUAUUGAUCUAAAGAGACAAGGGUCGCCUCUCCCGUCAAAAUAGAUGGGGUCUGGUUUUGACGUCUAUUUUGACGGGAGAAGCGACCCUUGUCUCUU